GUGCCCGUAACUCAGUGGUAGAGUGUGAGAUUGCAAUUUCGUGGAUCUUGUGGCGUAAUCUCGAAGCCGCGUGUUCGAACCACGCCGGGCACU